UUAAAGGAUGACCGAACACUGGGGUAGAAUCCGUUCUGUGUGACCCCAGGGGAGCCCAGGGAAGGCCAUCAUCCUGCUCUGGGUUGGCAGUCGGAGAGAUUCCAGGCCCCUGUGAAGAAAGCGCUGCCUCUCUGAGCAUCCCAGGACUCAGCAGGCUCUCUCCCUGCCCUUCUGUGUUUCCUUCCAAUCCCACACUCGCCACCUUGACCUUGCCUCUUCAGCAGAGUCUAGAGGAGUCUUUGGUCUUAUAAGGGAGCAAGAGUUAGACUUCCUCGACGACAAAGUGCAGGAGCCCGCUGGUAUGUCUUUUUUUUUUCUCCCUUUAGGGAAGAUAAAAGUAUUGGGCCGGCUCCCUUCCUCACCUGGGCAAUCUAGACUGUUCCAGAGCAAGAGUUCCAACGAAGAAGCAUAGCACUCUGGUCUAAGCAUGGAAAACUUAUUAAUGGAAAAUUAAUGGAAAUUAAUGGAAAACUUAAACUGGUGAAUAAAAUGUACUGUCUGCCUAGCGUGCAAAAUAGCAACAAAAUUUAAAAAUACGUGUUAAGCUGUUGUUUUUACUUGACUAGUAAUUGGCAAAAUAUUACAGACUACUGAAUUUAAUUAUCAUUGUACGUGUCUAGGUCAUCUUUUGAUGAGCUGGCAAUGUUUACAUAAAUAAUAAAUAGAGGCUUAAAUAAUGAUUCUUAUAUAAUCACUACAUACAUUUU
rnacentral:lncRNA from 1 species